AUAUCUCUCCGUACGGGAAGGAUGAGAAGCUUCGACUAAGGUUCGAUUCGAGCGCAGCGAGAAAGCGUUGCCGCAGGCAACGACCCGAAGGGCGAAGCGCGCAGCGCUGAGUCAUCCUUCCCCCACCACCA
rnacentral:sRNA from 110 species